rnacentral:rRNA from 1 species
CAGUAGCCGCGGUAAUACGGAGGGUGCAAGCGUUACUCGGAAUUACUGGGCGUAAAGCGUGCGUAGGUGGUGGUUUAAGUCCGUUGUGAAAGCCCUGGGCUCAACCUGGGAAUUGCAGUGGAUACUGGGUCACUAGAGUGUGGUAGAGGAUAGUGGAAUUUCCGGUAUAGCAGUGAAAUGCGUAGAGAUCGGAAGGAACAUCUGUGGCGAAGGCGACUAUCUGGGCCAACACUGACACUGAGGCACGAAAGCGUGGGGAGCAAACAGGAUUAGAGACCCGCGUAGUCCCUGUCUCUUAUAC